rnacentral:rRNA from 1 species
AUUGAACGCUGGCGGCAUGCCUUACACAUGCAAGUCGAACGGUAACGGGCCUUCGGGUGCCGACGAGUGGCGAACGGGUGAGUAAUGUACCGGAACGUACCUUUCAGUGGGGGAUAACGUAGCGAAAGUUACGCUAAUACCGCAUAUUCUGUGCGCAGGAAAGCAGGGGAUCGCAAGACCUUGCGCUAAUUGAGCGGCCGAUAUCAGAUUAGCUAGUUGGUGAGGUAAAGGCUCACCAAGGCGACGAUCUGUAGCGGGUCUGAGAGGAUGAUCCGCCACACUGGAACUGAGACACGGUCCAGACUCCUACGGGAGGCAGCAGUGGGGAAUUUUGGACAAUGGGGGCAACCCUGAUCCAGCCAUGCCGCGUGAGUGAAGAAGGCCUUCGGGUUGUAAAGCUCUUUCGGCCGGGAAGAAAUCGCAUGGGCUAAUACCCUGUGCGGAUGACGGUACCGGCAUAAGAAGCACCGGCUAACUACGUGCCAGCAGCCGCAGUAA